rnacentral:rRNA from 1 species
ACGACGCUGGCGGCGUGGAUAAGACAUGCAAGUCGUGCGACAGACCAGGAAUUGAUUACUUCGGUUUGAUUUUCCUGACGAUGAGCGGCGAACGGGUGCGUAACACGUGAGAAAUCUGCCCUUAAGUUCGGGAUAGCCCUACGAAAGUAGAAUUAAUACCGGAUGUGGCCCAGGGAGGGCAUCUUCCCUUGGCUAAAGCUCGGUUAUAGAGCGCUUUUGGAUGGUCUCGCGGUCUAUCAGCUUGUUGGUGAGGUAACGGCUCACCAAGGCUCUGACGGAUAGCUGGUCUGAGAGGAUGAUCAGUCACACUGGAACUGAGAUACGGUCCAGACACCUACGGGUGGCAGCAGUCGAGAAUCAUUCACAAUGGGCGCAAGCCUGAUGGUGCGACGCCGCGUGGGGGAUGAAGGGCUUCGGUUCGUAAACCCCUGUCAUCUGUGAGUAAGGCUCCCAAUAAAAGCUUGGGAGAUUGAUAUUAGCAGAAGAGGAAGGGACGGCUAACUCAGUGCCAGCAGCCGCGGUAAUACUGAGGUCCCAAGCGUUGUUCGGAUUUACUGGGCGUAAAGGGUGCGUAGGCGGCUAGAAAAGUUUGGUGUGAAAUCUCCGGGCUCAACCCGGAAACUGCAUUGAAAACUAGAUAGCUAGAGGAUCGGAGAGGAGAUUGGAAUUCUCAGUGUAGCAGUGAAAUGCGUAGAUAUUGAGAGGAACACCAGUUGCGAAGGCGGAUCUCUGGACGGUUUCUGACGCUGAGGCACGAAAGCUGGGGUAGCGAAGAGGAUUAGAUACCCUCGUAGUCCCAGCCGUAAACGGUGCGCACUUGCUGUGGGCGGAUUCGACCCCGUCCGUGGCGAAGCUAACGCGUUAAGUGCGCCGCCUGGGGAGUACGGUCGCAAGAU